rnacentral:rRNA from 1 species
GACGAACGCUGGCGGCGUGCUUAACACAUGCAAGUCGAACGGAAAGGCCCUGCUUUUGUGGGGUGCUCGAGUAGCGAACGGGUGAGUAACACGUGAGUAACCUGCCCUUGACUUUGGGAUAACUUCAGGAAACUGGGGCUAAUACCGGAUAGGAGCUCCUGCUGCAUGGUGGGGGUUGGAAAGUUUCGGCGGUUGGGGAUGGACUCGCGGCUUAUCAGCUUGUUGGUGGGGUAGUGGCUUACCAAGGCUUUGACGGGUAGCCGGCCUGAGAGGGUGACCGGCCACAUUGGGACUGAGAUACGGCCCAGACUCCUACGGGAGGCAGCAGUGGGGAAUAUUGCACAAUGGGCGGAAGCCUGAUGCAGCAAGGCCGCGUGCGGGAUGACGGCCUUCGGGUUGUAAACCGCUUUCGCCUGUGACGAAGCGUGAGUGACGGUAAUGGGUAAAGAAGCACCGGCUAACUACGUG